CAUCGCAUCUAUAAUGCAGUCGAGCGAACAGAAGGGAGCUUGCUCCCGGAUGUUAGCGGCGGACGGGUGAGUAACACGUGGGUAACCUGCCUGUAAGACUGGGAUAACUCCGGGAAACCGGAGCUAAUACCGGAUAGUUCCUUGAACCGCAUGGUUCAAGGAUGAAAGACGGUUUCGGCUGUCCCUUACAGAUGGACCCGCGGCGCAUUAGCUAGUUGGUGGGGUAAGGGCG
rnacentral:rRNA from 1 species